ensembl:lncRNA
CGCCUUCCUCCACAGGCAGAAUUAGGACAGCGUUGAACACCGCAGAGAGAUACAGAACAGCACUCGGUAACAAACGCGUGGGAC